rnacentral:misc_RNA from 1 species
GAAAUGCGAUAAGUAAUGUGAAUUGCAGAAUUCAGUGAAUCAUCGAAUCUUUGAACGCACAUUGAGCCCGCCAGUAUUCUGGCGGGCAUGCCUGUCCGAGCGUCAUUUCAACCAUCAAGCCCCCGGGCUUGUGUUGGGGACCUGCGGCUGCCCGCAGGCCCUGAAAACCAGUGGCGGGCUCGCUGUCACACCGAGCGUAGUAGCAAUCACCUCGCUCAGGGCGUGCUGCGGGUUCCGGCCGUUAAACAGCCUUACAAAACCCAAGGUUGACCUCGGAUCAGGUAGGAAGACCCGCUGAACUUAAGC